AGUGGAAUGGCUGGCUCAUAUGGUAAAUGUAUGUUUGACUUUUAAAGAAACUGCCAAACUGCUUUCCAAAGUAAUUGUUCCAUUUACAUUCCCACCUGCAGU
rnacentral:pre_miRNA from 1 species